rnacentral:rRNA from 1 species
CACGUAGGGCGCAAGCGUUGUCCGGAAUUAUUGGGCGUAAAGAGCUCGUAGGCGGUCUGUUGCGUCCGCUGUGAAAACUCGGGGCUUAACCCCGAGCCUGCAGUGGAUACGGGCAGACUAGAGGUAGGUAGGGGAGAAUGGAAUUCCCGGUAUAGCGGUGAAAUGCGCAGAUAUCGGGAGGAACACCGGUGGCGAAGGCGGUUCUCUGGGCCUUACCUGACGCUGAGGAGCGAAAGCGUGGGGAGCGAACAGG